rnacentral:rRNA from 1 species
CACGUAGGGUGCAAGCGUUGUCCGGAAUUACUGGGCGUAAAGCGUACGCAGGCGGCUAUGUAAGACAGGUGUGAAAUCCCCGGGCUUAACCUGGGAACUGCAUUUGUGACUGCAUAGCUAGAGUCUGUCAGAGGGGGGUGGAAUUCCACGUGUAGCAGUGAAAUGCGUAGAGAUGUGGAGGAACACCGAUGGCGAAGGCAGCCCCCUGGGAUAAGACUGACGCUCAUGUACGAAAGCGUGGGGAGCAAACAGG